rnacentral:lncRNA from 10 species
GUCUCCACCUCAGCAGGGAACAUGCAGAUGAUGGACUCCCAUUUUCCACAGCUUUGUGAAUGGCAGAGUGGUACUGUGAAAAUGCCACAGUUUUCAGGUCUCCUGAACAGAGAGAGGACAUCACUUCUUCAUUUAAUUCAACCACAGAAGCACUCUCCAGUAACACAUGGUGUCAUCUUCUGGAAUCCCAGUGUAAGCAUGAGAAAAAAAAAAAAAGAAAGAAAGAAAAAGAAAAGAAGUUGGAAAGUGACAAAGAAGGAAGGAAAGUCACCAUUCCUGUCUUAUUUGGGUCAAUGCUGACUGAAGCACAAGAAGAAGAUAGAGAAUAUUCUGUGGACAGAAAUCAAAUCCAUGCCAAAUGACGAAGAAACCAAAGUGGUAUUGAUAACAGGUGAUUCUACCCGUAUGUGGGGCAGGAGAUGCAUAGACACUCUGUGUACCUUCCACUCAGUUUUGCUGUGAACCUAAAGCUGAUCUUUAAAAUAAAGUCUAUUAAAAUAAACAA